UCAACAGUAGUGCUGUUGAGCAGUAUAGAUUAUGCAGUUUUUCCCCUAUAAUGUAUCCCAGAUAGUACAGUUUUACAUUACAUUACAAACCAGGUGGAUUUAUAUUAAAGACUUUUUUGUCAACCUCCAUAGGAAAACUGUACACACAUACACGCACAUUCAUUUGAUAAACACUACUCAUGACACUGCACAAACAGCAAGGAGACAAUCAUGACCAUCUUGCAAUCUCCUUCUCCAUCUCUCUCGGGAUUCUUCAGCAGCAGGGGAGUGGGUGGAGUUCAAAGCCGAGUAAAAAUAAAGAAACAAAAUGUAAACCGAAGAACUGUGUACUCUGGCAGCUUCCUCCCAAUAACCGUCUGGCAAACCGUUAUUAGCUGUCUAUGUGGGAAAUCAUUAAUUUUAGAAAAACAAAAUAUGUCAAGUUUAUCCCUGGGGCCAGCUGCUAUUUCUGUGUGUUCAAGACAGGAAAUGUUGAAUGUGAUGAUAUCCUGAAGGCAAUUUGUUAUUUAUUAAUUUCUUCUCAAGCAUUUUAUUUGAGCUGUGGGUUGAAAGAAAAGCUGUAAUUUGUACACAAACACACGGUCUAUUUACAGGCUAAUACAAAAAAGGACUCACAGAAGGGAAUAUUUAAUAUCUCUGCUUUUUAAGUAUAUUCAUUAUUUCCAUUUUGAUGUGUCACCUCAAAUUCAGUGUAACUCCACGAAAAUUGAUUUCUACUGCUUUUUUCCAUACUUGUGUUUUUCCCCUGACAUCACAACCUCAGAUUCAGUCUUGAAAAUAUUCAUGCAUUCUCACUCCUUGGGAGAUCUUGCCUUAAACCAAGCCCAUUCAUCCAUGUUGGCAGUGACAAUACAAUGGUGACAGGCACCCAGAAUCCCCAAAAUGUAGUAGAACUCCAAACCCGAAAUGCAGCACAACAUGAGACCUUUCCUCAACAGAGGUUCUGUCAAGUUCCUCGCUCAAAUUUAGUCACCUCUUGUCUGGGCUACUCUGAUUCCCUCUGUGACCACACUCCAUCCAACCUCUCCAUCUAAUCCAGAACACAGCAGCAUGCCUCAUUUUUAACAUGCUCAGACCCUCCUAUGUUAUCCCACUCUUACAGUUCCUCCACAAGGCUGCUUGUAUUGCAUACAAAAUCCUGUUGUUGGCAAACAAGGUUGCAAAGGGAUUCACACAUGCAUACAACCAGGCCACUGUCCAGGUCUACACACACCAGCUUGCUCUGCUUGUCGGUGACCACAGGCCACUUAGUUCAUCAUUUUGAUUCCUUCCCAGACUUCCUGAUGUCUCCUUAUUUUUCCUUCUCUUCUCUCAUUUCUCUCUUCAAGUGUGUUGUAUUUAUUUCAUAACUUUUUAUUAUAAUUUUGGCAUCUUACCAGAAUAUUGUGAAUUCAACUGUUGAGCUCCAAUUAAGUUACUCGGAAUGAGAACGUCAGUCAAAUUAAUGAAAUCUAAAUGUCAGUCUUUCUGCCUACUACUGUUUUUCAUUUUCUCUGCUCUAUUUCUCUUUUUGGGUUUCUAUACGAAUGUUGUUAAAGCACUGAACAUACAUCUGAAAGUUAUAAGCUGAGUUGUAUAAGCUCACUCAAUCUUCAGUUGAUAAUUGCAUGCUUCCUUCCCUGAAUGAGGUAUAUAUGCCAGUCCCCAGAUGCAUGUGCAGUUUUGACUCACUCACAUUAACCCUGUGAGCCCUAGGCGUGAGAAGCCUACUCGAAGGCUUGUUAGGUGUGGUAAAUGUUGUGUAUGUACAUGGAUUGAGCACACAUAUCACGAUAUGAGUCAAAGCAUUAUACGAUGACCAUAAAACUUGGGGAAGACUGUAGCUUGAUUGCCUGCUGUCUGUGCACUAACCUUUUCAUGGGUUGGCUAGGAAUCAGUGGAUUUAGAAAGCCAUCUGUCCCAAAUGCAGUUUCUUCUGCAAGAAGAAAGGCUUUCACUGCAUAACUAUAUGGGACCAUUUUUAAUUGGUGUUGUCCUUUGACCAGUGACGACCUUAUAUAGAAUUUAAAAUUUUGUCAAUGUCAGUCUGUGAACUUCAAUAAAAAUCAUCUAAGAGAGGUACACAAAGCACCACAAAUGUCUCAUCUAGCUCCUUAAUAGAAAAAAUUGAUACAUAAAAUUCUCUUAAUAUAAUAAAUUUAAUUGUGCCAGUGUGUUAAAGCAUGGCUUAUACUCGGAUGCAGUUGCCAAAGUUCAUAUACAAAGCUUAAGUCUUUCCACUGCUUUUAUUCAUGGAGAAUUAUCUUCUACAUGAUAGGCAUUCAUUGUUCUCAGGAGAAGAAGUAUUCGGUCUUUCAUCACUAUUCCCUUGUACAAACAAUGAUAUGAUUUUUGAGGCUUUCAUGACAUCAGAAAAUUAAGUAUUAUGUUUCCAUCAAGUUUUAGACAUGAAUUCAUUGUUCACAGAGGAUUCAUUCCAGUUACUAUCUACCUUCCAGUUUCCCUGGAAUAUCUUCAGCAGGUCAAAGGUUGCCGUAAUCCAGUGGUACAGCUGGUGGAUUUUGUACUGACAUUCACUUGGAAAAGUAUAAUGCCUGACUCUUUCCUAGCACCAAACACCUGUUGAUUUUAGGAGAAAAACUUGGUUCAUGGUUACCAGAGGAAUUCUACUAUUCUCACUAGUGUCAUGGUCCCCGUGCCUGCUCGGCUGGCCCUGUGUGGCUACAUGUGUUGUUUUUGCCUCUCUCCUCUCUUCUCUCCCUCUCUCUCUACUCGCUGCCUGGGCGGAGCUCAUAGUGGGCUCCCGCUCCUGGCCUUCACCACCUGUAGGCAAUCACCUGUGGCUCCUCACCUUGUUUGCUCUCGCUACUUAAGGCUGUGACUGAGAGCAUCUCGCCGCUGGACUAUUGAGUAACGCUCAUUUCUCGUGCUUGGUUUGGAGAUCUGGACACCUAAGCCUGUUCGUGAGUGCCGUAGUGAGAGUGGCGUGCGUGAGGAAAGGACCUUUCCAAGCGCGCCGCCCUGCCCGAGUGGGGUGGAGUAAGAGAGGACACUUUUCCCGAUUCUUCCCUGUACCCCUGGGAACCCUGACCCCCUUCUCCUUCACCAGUGUAUAGUGCACCAGGAGUGUGUAAAUAAAACCUGUUUUCUGUGA